rnacentral:lncRNA from 1 species
UAUGGAUAAAAUAGAGAAGCAAUGUCAGGCUGCCUGUUUUUAGUGGCACAGAAUUGCCUUCGAAGUAGCAGGCAGCAGAAACCCGCCAUCAGAUUCUGAGGCUGGAAACGACCAUCAGAAGCCAGAAACCUGACUUUUACUCCAAAUUGGAGUGGGAAAACCAUCUAAAGGCAUCUCAUUGACUUCCAGUGACUGGCAAUGCAAAUAUAGCCAUCAGAUGCCUUGAAGGCCAUGUAACCACCUUGUGCAGAAUUAACCAAGAUUAGUCCUUUCUUCAAGACUAGAAGUAAGCAAGCGGUCCAAAAUUUAUUGAUGUAAGGGGUCCCAGAACCCUAUCAAUACCUGCAUGCCCUCAAAUGACACAUCAAUAAAAGUAUUCUUCUCGUGAGUGUACCUUAAUGUUUUUAUCAAUAAAUCACACUUUAGUUUUUCUCUCUAAGUAAAGAUCUUACACAUGCUUUUAUGAACUCCAAAGCAACUCAGAGGAUUUUAAGGAUCGUUUGAUAACAAGCUAGUGGAUUUUGGGGAGUAGCAAACAACCUUCAAAGCCUUUGAUAGACUCAAAGCACUGAAAAAGAUCUUCAGCAAUAAAGCAAUUGCUACUAGGCAAAGUUUGCCAUCUUGGCACCGGACCCCAUACUAGUACCAACCAUGCUAGCAUAGUGUUGGUAACAUGCUGGGCACAACCGCCAAACUAGGCUAGUCAAUUUUAUGAACCCCACUCCACAAAAUAGAAGUAAAAGAUAUGAGACCCACAUCCUCCCACAUAAGAUCAGGAACAUCAGACUUCUUUUGGGCACCUAAAAAAGGAGGGAGGUGAAAGUGGCAACAGAAUGAGGACAAAAGAAAGAAGCCUUGUCAUUUGCAUAGGCCAGCCUCACCUUCUUCCCUGAGCAUUUUUUCUUCCUUUUAAACCAUCCAUUGACUAUUGUUAGGUAAUUUAUAUCUAGUUUUUUAAUCCUGUUUAAAAUCCUUUAAAAUUUAAAACAAGAACAAAGAGUGAUAUAAUAACAUUUGCUGCAGUUAAUAGAAGUUUUAGCUCUUUGUUUAUUCUUCCUGUGUUGCCUUGAUGUUUCUUUGAUUCUUGAUUGAUUGCCUCAAACCUAGGGGUUCAUGCCAUGCCUUAAGAACAUAUAUAUACAUAUAGACACACCCUUCUAGCUGAUUUUCAACAAAUAGGCUGUUAUUAUCAGAUUUAAACAAAAUAGAGAUGAAUAUUUAAUAUAAGAUCUAGGGACUUGCAGGAGAUCCCUAUGCAGGUUGUCAACCCUAAAGGAUGAAUUUUGAUGAUUACAAAACACUUGAGAUCAUAUUGUGUACUAAUGACAUUGGCCUAAUUGUGAAGAUUUCUAAGUCAAGAAAAAUUAGAAGGAAUGAAGCACUGCAAAAUCAUAAGUUCUUCGCAAACAUCUCAUUGGACAUGUUUCAAAAGAAAAUGAUCAUAAUCUAAUCCAUGGAGAUCAGAGAUGAAGUCUAAAGCUUUCUAUUUGAAAAACUUGAGUCAACCCCCUAAGCAAAAAGGACAAGUUUAAGUUGAUUCUGAUAAGUUUUAUUCAAGGAACACAGUCAAUGAGUCGACCCCCGCAAAACAUGAGUCGACCCUUGUAGUUUAAAGUAAACAGAAAGUUUUUACCACCUGAGAGAAGCUUGAAGAGUCGAUCCUUGUUCAAAAUGAGUCAACCCCCGAAAUUGAAGAGUCAACCCUUGCGUUUGAAGAGUCGACCCCAGCUCAGUUUAAGCGACAGACGGAAAAUUAUGGUAUGAGUCGACUCUUGCAUUUAAAGAGGCGACUCCUGAAGACGAUGAGUCGACCCUUGUGUUUAAAGAGGCGACUCCUAAUGAAGAUGAGCCGACCCUUAAGAAUUAAGAGUCGACCCUUUGAAGAUGACAGCAAAAGCUUUCUCCACAUUUUGAAGUGCCGACCCAGAAUGAACAUGAGUCGACCCCUGAGUUAUAUGAGUUGACCCUUGUACUACUGGGACCACAACGGAAAGCUGUGAAUGACUUUUGUCUUCUUCUGUAACAGAAAAAGAUUCUCAUCAGAACGGAAAGAAAGAAAUUCAAAUCCCGCCGAAGAAUUUGUCUAUAAAUACGAGGGAACCUCAAAAUGGAAACAACAAGGAAAGAAAAAAGAUUAUAUUGAAAACAAAAGGUUUCCACUGAGUAAAAGAGAAGAAAAGCUUAACAGUUCAUCAUCCUCACCAGCAUUGUAAUCUGAAACUUUCUCUCGAGGAGAUCAGUCGAAGUUUCUCACUGCAUCGUGAAGAGCUGCUGUUCGGACAUUGGAACAUCCUUCCACAACCAACUUCUUCAUCAGCUUCAGCUUUUACUUUCAUUGAUUUAUUCUUUAUAUGCUCUGAAGCUUUAAGUUUUCUAGUUACAGCAUUCUUUUAGUUGGAUUAAUUGCUGCUGUAACAGUUUCAUUGAUUUGAAACUUGUAAAGACUCUUCCAAGCCUCGAUUGGAAGUUGCUGAAUCGGGAAUAUUCAAUAAGGAAAAAGUUUCUAGUUGGUUUAUCUGAAAACCAACUGGGUUGUUUGUGAGCCCAGAAAAACAAACGGUGUAAAAUUUUUGGUUGGUUUAUUUGAAAACCAACUGGGUUGUUUGUGAUCCCGGAAAACAAAAGAUUUUCGGUUGGUUGCCUGGGAAAACCAACUGGGUUUUGAUUGUGAGCCCGGAAAAUAAUCAGGCUGUAAUCUACUAGGUUAUAGUGAAAUCUCAAGCUAGGCUUGAGGAGUGGACGUAGGUGCUAGGAGUGCACCGAACCACUAUAAACCUUGGUAUUUGUGAUUGUAGUUCUUCUCUUCCUUUCCUCUGCAUAUUCCUGACUGCUUUCCUAACUUUAUUCACUGUCGUAUUUGUAAUCUUAUUUCCGCUGCUGAAUCUAUAAAAUAACAGUAACUCAUACUCUCCAUACGUUUUAACUUUAAUUAUUUUUAAAGAGACCCAAUUCACCCCCCUUCUUGGGCUGCAUCUCUGGGCAACACAGGUCCUGCUGCAUCAAACUCCCUUCAAUUUCUCAUUACUAUCAUGAGCUUACUUUUCGUUCUCCUUAUCUUAAUCACUUUCUUUUGAGUAACAGUAAUUCUCCCCACUACCCUUGUGCAGUUUUUCAUACUCAAUAAUAGCAGUUCUACCAGGAGGUUGCUCAACAUUUACACUCGUAGGCAUGACAUGACAAAGGAGCUUUGUUCUCUCUCCGCACCAAUCAGCACAUGCACGGAAUCUUGUUGCCCUCCUGGAGGGUAGACUUCCAUUGCCUUAAAGUGAGUUUACAGAGUCAAUAGACUUCUGUUGGGAGCUAUAACACUUGUUCCUCAUGGUUUACUCAAGGUCAAGGCCAACAUCCACAGCGAGGAACCAAUUGUUGUUGCAACUAAGGCCAAGGACAUAAGCAUAAAAUGUUGGUUAUAGGUUGGCAUGGUAUUGUACCAUGCCAACCAACCUUGUGUCCAGAAUCAUUCCAAGGCCCAUCUCAAAAUAUAGGGAUCCAUAACAGUUCAAUAUCAGUCUAUAAUGAUCGAUAUGAAAUAGCAUGAACUGGCACACACAAUACAAAUAGUACUGUGCUCAUAUGUGAGGGUGAGCCUUGGCA